rnacentral:rRNA from 1 species
AGCGAACGCUGGCGGCAGGCUUAACACAUGCAAGUCGAGCGGGCAUCCUUGUGGUGUCGGCGGCAGACGGGUGAGUAACGCGUGGGAACGUGCCCUUCGGUUCGGAAUAACUCAGGGAAACUUGAGCUAAUACCGGAUACGUGCGAGAGCAGAAAGGUUUAUCUGCCGAAGGAUCGGCCCGCGUCUGAUUAGCUAGUUGGUGAGGUUAUGGCUCACCAAGGCGACGAUCAGUAGCUGGUCUGAGAGGAUGAUCAGCCACACUGGGACUGAGACACGGCCCAGACUCCUACGGGAGGCAGCAGUGGGGAAUAUUGGACAAUGGGGGCAACCCUGAUCCAGCCAUGCCGCGUGAGUGAUGACGGCCUUAGGGUUGUAAAGCUCUUUUCUCCGGGACGAUAAUGACGGUACCGGAGGAAUAAGCCCCGGCUAACCUCGUG